CCUUCCAAAGUAUACUGUGUACUUUUAUUCCCUGUAUUAAGCUGUGCUGAUGGUGGAUAUUUCUUAUCCAGGUUGACAUCCUCUCAAUAGUUAAGUGGGCCUGAUGGUAAAACAGCAGACUCAACUUGGGCUAAUAGCCUAUCAGAAGCAAGAGCUAGCUCCCGUACCAGGCACAGAUGGCCCUGCUCUCCUUUCUCCCACUGAGCAGUGCAAAUCAACUUCUCAGCCUAUCAGGUGUAGUAAGGUACAUAGAAGACUCACGUAAGAGCUCCAAGAUAAGGAGACCACAUAGUUCGUCUAAAAUGACUAUGACUUAAACAGAGCUAAGCAAGCUAGUGCCUCUUCUUCACACUGAUGGACUUGUUGCCCCUUUGAGGAAACAAUUAAUACAGUGUGAGUGUCUCUCUAUGCUCUGGUCAGCCUUGCUAACCCUUUCUUAAUACUCCUUUAGCUGCUGAAUCCCAUCAUUCACUGAUACCAAGUGGCAUCGUACGAUGGCUUUAGACCUUUGGACAUCCUCCUCACCUGUAGCAAAAUGGUUUAAUUAUAUUAUGGUACCACUUGAGUAUCUUGGAAGAAUGAGAAAAACAUCAUUUAAAGAGUAUAAGUGCAAAAAGCACUCUACAUUGCUAGAAAGGGCACUCCCAAGAGACAGAGCUAUUGAGUGGAAAUCCUAGUGGCAGAGAUGGUUGAUCUCUCUAUAAAUUGCUAGUGCAGGGAGGCCUUACAUACAUUAAAUGAUAUUGUCACUAUUGCUGAUUGCAUGCCAAAACUAAAUGGUUAGUAAAUUCCUGUUGCUAAGGACACUGCAUGCUUUAGUUACAGAACAUGAUAAAAUCAA
rnacentral:lncRNA from 1 species